rnacentral:misc_RNA from 1 species
AACGCACCUUGCGCUCUUUGGUAUUCCGAGGAGCAUGCCUGUUUGAGUGUCAUGAAAUUCUCAACCUUUCUCUGGCUUGCUGUUAUAAGCUGGGUCCAGGGGGGGGGGUGUUUGGAUUAUGGAAGUUUGCUGGCUUGUCCAGCUCUUCUCAAAUGCAUUAGCGAGGUCAUAUACUGAUUAUAUCUCUUGGUAAUGAUAAUUAUCUAUACCAUUGAGAAUCAGAUUCCUGUACAGGGAAGACUCUGCUUCUAACAGUCUCCAUGUUGGGACAUACAUGACCCAUUUUUGACCUCAAAUCAGGUAGGACUACCCGCUGAACUUAA